rnacentral:misc_RNA from 1 species
GAUGAAGAACGUAGCGAAAUGCGAUAAGUAAUGUGAAUUGCAGAAUUCAGUGAAUCAUCGAAUCUUUGAACGCACAUUGCGCCCGCCAGUAUUCUGGCGGGCAUGCCUGUUCGAGCGUCAUUUCAACCAUCAAGCCCCAGGUUUGUGUUGGGGACCUGCGGCUGCCGCAGGCCCUGAAAACCAGUGGCGGGCUCGCUGUCACACCGGGCGUAGUAGAUUUUAUCUCGCUCAGGGCGUGCUGCGGGUCCCGGCCGUUAAAAGCCUUUUUUUACCCAAGGUUGACCUCGGAUCAGGUAGGAAGACCCGCUGAACUUAAGCAUAUCAAUAAGCGGAGGA